rnacentral:rRNA from 1 species
GACGAACGCUGGCGGCGUGCCUAACACAUGCAAGUGGAGCGACGAACCAGGGCUUGCCCUGGAGCAGAGCCGCGAACGGGUGAGUAACACGUGGGUAACCUGCCCCGAUGACCGGGACAACCCGAGGAAACUCGGGCUAAUACCGGAUGUGAUGUCCACACAUAAGUGUGUCCAUCAAAGGAAGCUUCGGCCUCCACAUUGGGAUGGGCCCGCGGCCCAUUAGCUAGUUGGUGGGGUAAAGGCCUACCAAGGCAACGAUGGGUAGCUGGUCUGAGAGGACGAUCAGCCACACUGGGACUGAGACACGGCCCAGACUCCUACGGGAGGCAGCAGUGGGGAAUCUUGCGCAAUGCGCGAAAGCGUGACGCAGCAACGCCGCGUGAGGGAAGACGGCCUUCGGGUUGUAAACCUCUUUCAGGAGGGACGAAGGUCCGCCCGCGAAUAGCGAGGCGGAUUGACGGUACCUCCAGAAGAAGCCCCGGCUAACUACGUGCCAGCAGCCGCGGUAAUAC